UAGGGAAUCUUCGGCAAUGGGGGCGAACCCUGACCGAGCAACGCCGCGUGAGUGAAGAAGGUUUUCGGAUCGUAAAGCUCUGUUGUAAGAGAAGAACGUGUGUGAGAGUGGAAAGUUCACACAGUGACGGUAACUUACCAGAAAGGGACGGCUAACUACGUGCCA
rnacentral:rRNA from 1 species